UUGAAGAGGAGCACACUAAACGCAGCGUAGCGCUCGCUGCUAUGGAAGAAAAAUACGCCCUAGAUAUGGAAAAGAUGAGAAAGUCUAUGGAAACUGCAGCAAGGCAUGGUAGGAUCGCUGCUGCACUACAUGGUAUCCCAGUGUUGGGCCCACUUGUAGGAGGAAUAUAUACACUGUCGACUUCUCCAUGAGGUCACUGAGGAAAGCUGCGCCGCUUAUUGACGAUUCGGGGUUACCAGGCCAUGCUUUGUGCAGAAAAUUGUAUGAAGAAAUACCCAAGCAGAAAUAGUAUUUUGGUUAAAGCUUGGACACAUAUUCUGUAACUGGGACAGAUA